rnacentral:rRNA from 1 species
UGGGGAAUCUUCCGCAAUGGACGAAAGUCUGACGGAGCAACGCCGCGUGAGUGAAGAAGGUUUUCGGAUCGUAAAACUCUGUCUUUUGGGGCGAACGUGAGUAUGGUGAACAAUCAUAGUCAGUGACGGUACCAAAGGAGGAAGCCACGGCUAACUACGUGCCAGCAGCCGCGGUAAUACGUAGGUGGCAAGCGUUGUCCGGAAUUAUUGGGCGUAAAGAGCGCGUAGGCGGGAUAGUCAGUCUGUUGUAAAAGUGCGGGGCUCAACCCCGUGAUGGCAAUGGAAACAGCUAUUCUUGAGUGCAGGAGAGGAAAGUGGAAUUCCCAGUGUAGCGGUGAAAUGCGUAGAUAUUGGGAGGAACACCAGUGGCGAAGGCGACUUUCUGGACUGUGUCUGACGCUGAGGCGCGAAAGCCAGGGGGAGCGAACGGGAUUAGAUACCCCGGUAGUCCUGGGCCGUAAACGAUGGGUACUAGGUGUGGGAGGUAUCGACCCCUUCCGUGCCGGAGUUAACGCAAUAAGUACCCCGCCUGGGGAGUACGGUCGCAAGACUGAAACUCAAAUGAAUUGACGGGGUCAUAGCUGUUUCCU